GCUCGCUGAUGAAGACAGCUCCAUCCCCUUCCCAAGGCUGCCACUCAAGCUGUCACCAAGGCCAGCCUAUUCGGAGAGCAGUCCUGAUAUAAGAUUCCCCCCGAGCUGCCUGGGGUUCGCCCACGCACACAAGGCGGCUGAGGCUCACAGCUCCCUCUCCCCGGGUGUCGGCUGGAGGGGGGCUGUACAGGAUUUUGGGAAGGGAGGGGUCAAUCUUGUUUCUAGGCGCCCAGAGUCCCCUUCUUCGUGAACUGAGAGGGGCUGGGUGUUGAAGGUGCUGCAGCUUUUGGGGGCAACAAGGAACAAAAUGAGAUGGACACAGACCAGCCUGGUGGGGCUGGAAACGAGCUGAGCUUUCAGCCCUGCAUCCGUCGGGGCAACAUCCUUGACUCUUUCAUAUUUCUUCGCUAUCUGGCUCUGCUCUGUCUGCUAAGAUAAAAAUAAAAUAACCUUUGAGACGGAGCCAGGACUGGCCAAGUUCCUUCUGCCAGCUGUCCCUAUAACAACCAUCAUCCCUGGAAUUUAACUAGUGCCUCUCCAUGGGAAAUCAAAGCCCUUCAUAAAGGAAACUGGCCGCCAGGCAGCACAACAAGCCUGAGCAAGACAGGCGAGGCCAUUUUGAUUGUGGUGGUUGCCUUGGCAACGGGAGAAGGCCAAGGUCUCUGUGCAGAGAACGGCAGCAUGUUCUUCCCUGGGUCCCAAAUAAAGGGAUCAAGAGGAUUUGCUGAUAACACUUCACUUCCUGUGUGCGUGUGGGGUUCUCAAUGAUCAAAGAACAAACACCUCAGGGAGGGUCAUUUGCAGCAACGAUCCCAAACCGGAACCCCACGUUCAAACUUGAGGGCACCCAGGAAACUGAGUCUAGAUUUGCCGUUCCAAUCCACAGAACAGAUCUCGCCCAUGCAGAAUACUCCUAACCACGGGAAUAUUAGAACCUGGGUGCUGUGACAGAGGGGCAUCAGACUCUGUCUGGAGCAGAGGGCUUGGAUUUCUUCUCUGAUAACAAUUUUGUCCUUCGCUAGGACAUUUCCUCUGAGGAUCUCAGCGCACUUAUUCCCUCAGAGCCCAUGAGGAUGAUCAAGGUGGACAAACUCUUAAGUAAGAAUCUCGUAACUUCACCACCACUGGGAGGACGCCUGUGGCCCAGACCCUUUGCGAGGGGCUCCCACCUAGCAGGGAUAGGAGCACCAGGAGCUGAUUCUCACAGUAAAGCCCCGUUAGGUCUAUUUAGAAAUUAAUUUGCAUGCAUCUUACUGCUAGAGUGGUUUAAAAGGGGCCUUUGUAAAAAUGAGACUAAAAGCCCAGGGUCUCCAGCUGUCUCCUUACCACCAGGCACUGGGAGACCCAGGAACCAGCUGCCUGGGUCAGAACCACUAAUAAAAGCAGCCUUUGUGGAACACGGCUCCCAUUCUCUGUGUCUCUUUCAGCUUCUCGUUAAUGUGAUGUCCCUGAGCCAAGUGACCCGGGGAGAUCUUCGCAAGGGGAAGAUGCUUCUCAUUCCAGAUCCUCGCAACGCUCGUUUCUGGGUCGGUCUGGAAGACUUGUGAUUUUGUUGUUUCCGGUGUCAGGGAAGCGAACAACAAAUCCCAGUCUCCUCACAGCCCCAGGACUGGCCUCCAAGAAUCCAUCCAUGGUACCUUCCCUGGGACCAAGCAGCAUGAGGAGGAGAGAUGGUGAAACUAUACUGUUCUUCCUUUACCAGUAGGAAAACACACAGCCACAAUCUGAUUGCCACAGAGAUUCAGCCAACGAUUGGACAUUUAUAGGACUAACCAGAGCAGCCCGCGUUAUAACAGCAGGGGUUAAAAAAACCAAAGCAACUUAGAAGGACUAUAAACUGUCCUGCUUCAGGCCACGAAUCAACUUCUAACCAAUAUGGUCAGGAAGGGACUUUCCUGGGGUGGUGAUUAUCCUCCCACUGCAGGGUUUUCUGAAGCCUCUGGUGCUGACCAUGGCUGGAGACAGGCUAGGUGGACCAUGGGUCUGAUUCAGCAAUUCCUCUGACUUUCAGCACAGAUCUAAGCUGGCCAACUGUGGAGUGCAUGCAUGGGAAGCCACAUGGUUCAGGGAGAUGAGAAUGGCCUAGGGAGCCUUUACAUCAGGAGCCCAGGUCUGUAACGACUGAAAAGUCUGUCCCUUUCCAGAAGCCAUUUGAAACAAGCUGGGGGUUCAAAUGGAAAGUUUUUA